rnacentral:rRNA from 1 species
UACGUAGGGUGCGAGCGUUGUCCGGAAUUACUGGGCGUAAAGAGCUCGUAGGCGGUCAGUCGCGUCUGCUGUGAAAACUCGGGGCUUAACUCCGGGCCUGCAGUGGGUACGGGCUGACUAGAGUGCGGUAGGGGGAGACUGGAAUUCCUGGUGUAGCGGUGAAAUGCGCAGAUAUCAGGAGGAACACCGGUGGCGAAGGCGGGUCUCUGGGCCGUAACUGACGCUGAGGAGCGAAAGCGUGGGGAGCGAACAGG